rnacentral:rRNA from 1 species
AUUGAACGCUGGCGGCCGGCCUAACACAUGCAAGUCGAGCGGAGCGGCGGACGGGUGCGUAAUGCCUAGGAAUCUGCCUGGUAGUGGGGGAUAACGCACGGCAAUGGGCGCUACUACCGUAUACUAUAAGAUUAGCCUAGGUCGGAUUAGCUAGUUGGGGGGCUAAAGGCCUACCAAGGCGACGCGCCGUAACUGGUCUGAGAGGAUGAUCAGUCACACUGGAACUGAGACACGGUCCAGAGUCCUACGGGAGGCAGCAGUGGGGAAUAUGGGACAAUGGGCGAAAGCCUGAGCCAGCCAUGCCGCGUGUGUGAAGAAGGUCUUCGGAUUGGAAAGCACUUUAAGUUGGGAGGCGUUACCAACAGAAUAAGCACCGGCGAACUUCGUGCCAGCAGCCGCGGUAAUAC